GAAUCCGCUAAGGAGUGUGUAACAACUCACCUGCCGAAUGAAUCAGCCCUGAAAAUGGAUGGCGCUUAAGCGGGCGACCGACACCAUGCCGUCUGUACAAGAGCAAUGUUUACAGAUGAGUAGGAGGACGUGGCGGUCGUGUCGAAGCAUGUGUGCGAAUGCGUGUGGAACGGCCGCUAGUGCAGAUCUUGGUGGUAGUAGCAAAUAUUCAAGCGAGAUCCUUGAAGGGCGAAGCGGGGAAGGGUUCCACGCGAACAUUGAUUGGGCGUGGGUGAGUCGUUCCUAAGCCGAGUGGCAAUUGCUAAGUAGCGGCGAAAGGGAAGCAGGUUGACAUUCCUGCACACGGAUGUGGAGGCGGUGACGCUUUAAUGAGGGCGAACACGCUGGCGAUGGCGCUGGGCAGAGAUUUCUUUUCUGUUUGACCGCUGAAGCGCGCGGUGUGGAAUCCGCUUGUCGGGAGAAACACGCGCGUUCGGGCAGAGCGCCGGGGCUAUUCCGGCGUCCAGCUCGCCAUCGACGGCCCUUGAAAAUUUGCCUGCUGGAAUAGAAUCUAUUCUAUAAAGAUCCACGCCGUGGCGUACCGAUAACCGCAUCAGGUCCCCAAGGUGAACAGCCUCUGCUCUAUAUGAAUAAUGCAGGUAAGGGAAGUCGGCA
rnacentral:rRNA from 1 species